rnacentral:rRNA from 1 species
UACAGAGGGGGCAAGCGUUGUUCGGAAUUACUGGGCGUAAAGGGCGCGUAGGCGGCCUUCUAAGUCGAACGUGAAAUCCCCGGGCUCAACCCGGGAACUGCGUCCGAUACUGGAAGGCUUGAAUCCGGGAGAGGGAUGCGGAAUUCCAGGUGUAGCGGUGAAAUGCGUAGAUAUCUGGAGGAACACCGGUGGCGAAGGCGGCAUCCUGGACCGGCAUUGACGCUGAGGCGCGAAGCCAGG